GAUGUCAGAAAACUUCUCUAAGGUGCUAUGAAUCCUAUGACUAGAUACACAUCCUAAAAUUACUAGAGGUUACGGAAGCUCCUUUUUGGAUCCAGCUUCAUUUGUGAAGACUUCAGAUGAUGCCAACACUCACAGAGGCUUAAGACGAUGGCAGCAAUAGAUGGACAUACAAAAUUGCCAAAUAUAAUAUUGUAAUUACUGCCCCAAAGCGCAAGUUUGCCGAUUUUUAACCCACUUUAUAUUGUUACAAAUACAAUAGAUGCUAACAUUUGAACAGAAAAUGUUUCCUCUUUAUUCUUGAGUUAAUUGUGCUGAUUUAUUCCCAUUUUUUUAUCCACAAUUCUUUGCCAAAAUGAUGUUUUGCAUCAUCCAAAUGGUUCAUUUUCAAAUUACAGACAUUGUAACAACACAAAGUGGGUUGAAAUUCUGCCAACUUACCCUAUAAUAAUAAUUGUCUUUUAACUGAACAGGACUUUAAACACAUGACUUGUAUUAACUUAGAGCUAUUGUGAAAUUAAUAUUGUUUUGUUUCCAGAACAUUCUCCUCAGUGAGUCACUGUUACCUCAGACUGAUUAAGGGAUUUUUUGUAACCUUGAAACAUGCAUUGGUUUUAUUAUGGUAAAACUGCAUAUCUUAUUUCAAACCAAGGUUUUGUAACCAUGGUUCUACUACAGUAACAUUAUAGUAAUGCUGGAGUGAAACUGUGGUAACCAUAUUAUUUUAAAUCAUGGUAAAGUUUGUGGUUACUAAAAUGCACUUCUAUAUGCUGUUGUAAGAGCAUGAUUAUUUUUUAUUUAUUAAUAAACCAUGGUUGAUUUUA